rnacentral:rRNA from 1 species
GAUGAACGCUGGCGGCGUGCCUAAUACAUGCAAGUCGAGCGAACAGACGAGGAGCUUGCUCCUCUGACGUUAGCGGCGGACGGGUGAGUAACACGUGGAUAACCUACCUAUAAGACUGGGAUAACUUCGGGAAACCGGAGCUAAUACCGGAUAAUAUAUUGAACCGCAUGGUUCAAUAGUGAAAGACGGUUUUGCUGUCACUUAUAGAUGGAUCCGCGCCGCAUUAGCUAGUUGGUAAGGUAACGGCUUACCAAGGCAACGAUGCGUAGCCGACCUGAGAGGGUGAGCGGCCACACUGGAACUGAGACACGGUCCAGACUCCUACGGGAGGCAGCAGUAGGGAAUCUUCCGCAAAGGGCAAAAGCCUGACGGAGCAACGCCGCGUGAGUGAUGAAGGUCUUCGGAUCGUAAAACUCUGUUAUUAGGGAAGAACAAAUGUGUAAGUAACUAUGCACGUCUUGACGGUACCUAAUCAGAAAGCCACGGCUAACUACGUG